GACGAACGUUGGCGGCGUGCUUAACACAUGCAAGUCGAACGAUGAUGCCAGCUUGCUGGUGGAUUAGUGGCGAACGGGUGAGUAACACGUGAGCAACCUGCCCCUGACUUCGGGAUAACCGCGGGAAACCGUGGCUAAUACCGGAUAUGACGCGCUAUCGCAUGGUGGUGUGUGGAAAGAUUUAUCGGUUGGGGAUGGGCUCGCGGCCUAUCAGCUUGUUGGUGGGGUGAUGGCCUACCAAGGCGACGACGGGUAGCCGGCCUGAGAGGGUGACCGGCCACACUGGGACUGAGACACGGCCCAGACUCCUACGGGAGGCAGCAGUGGGGAAUAUUGCACAAUGGGCGCAAGCCUGAUGCAGCGACGCCGCGUGAGGGAUGACGGCCUUCGGGUUGUAAACCUCUUUCAGUAGGGAAGAAGGCCUUCGGGUUGACGGUACCUGCAGAAGAAGCGCCGGCUAACUACGU
rnacentral:rRNA from 1 species